rnacentral:rRNA from 1 species
ACAGGGGGAUAACACUUAGAAAUAGGUGCUAAUACCGCAUAAGCGCACGGUUCCGCAUGGAACAGUGUGAAAAACUCCGGUGGUAUACGAUGGAUCCGCGUCUGAUUAGCCAGUUGGCGGGGUAACGGCCCACCAAAGCGACGAUCAGUAGCCGGCCUGAGAGGGUGAACGGCCACAUUGGGACUGAGACACGGCCCAAACUCCUACGGGAGGCAGCAGUGGGGAAUAUUGCACAAUGGGGGAAACCCUGAUGCAGCGACGCCGCGUGAGUGAAGAAGUAUUUCGGUACGUAAAGCUCUAUCAGCAGGGAAGAAAAAAAGUCCUUUGGACUUUGGACGGUACCUGACCAAGAAGCCCCGGCUAACUACGUGCCAGCAGCCGCGGUAAUACGUAGGGGGCAAGCGUUAUCCGGAUUUACUGGGUGUAAAGGGAGCGUAGACGGCAGCGCAAGUCUGGAGUGAAAUGCCGGGGCCCAACCCCGGAACUGCUUUGGAAACUGUGCAGCUCGAGUGCAGGAGAGGUAAGCGGAAUUCCUAGUGUAGCGGUGAAAUGCGUAGAUAUUAGGAGGAACACCAGUGGCGAAGGCGGCUUACUGGACUGUAACUGACGUUGAGGCUCGAAAGCGUGGGGAGCAAACAGGAUUAGAUACCCUGGUAGUCCACGCCGUAAACGAUGAUUAAUAGGUGUCGGGGGGCCAAGGCCCUUCGGUGCCGCCGCAA